UAUCUAAUCUACUCCAUACAUCUUUUUUCUUUCUAACUUCAUUGUUUAGAAAGCAAUGGAUUGUUAAGCCUGCAAUGCAGUGGCCUGUACCAGGAAGCUGAUCUGAAUGGUUAUCAUGAAGUCCCUCAGAUAUUCCAAGACAGUGUUGUUCAGAGUGAGAUGGCUCAAAAUUCCAUUGUACUUGAGAUUUCUCCAAUUGUAGCCAUGCUUUGUGUUUUUCGCCUCUUCUGGUGUUGGAACUUACAGGAAUUCCACUACUAAAAAUCACUGAAGACUCCGAAAGAGCUCAGGGAUGUAAUUCCCCUGAAAUUAAUGGAACUUGUUUUAGCUUUGCUCUACACAAUUGAUAAGAAUCGAAUGCUUCAAACUUCAGACUUACACUGCACCUCUGUUAUCAUGGGUUCCAAGGCAACAAGCCCACUCCUCUUCAUUCCUUGUCUAAUUUAAAGGAAAACACAAGGGAGUCAACUGGAAGAUCUCACGUUUUUCCAAGAGAUUUCAAUAAGGGUUUUAAAAAGGCUUGCGCUGUUAAGAGAUUUGGUGAUUUCAAAGAACUGAACAGGAACAAAACAUAAUGUUUAAAACCAACAACUUUUUCUCCUACCAAUUAUUUCUCUCACUUAAAAGAAAAAUUAUUAUGCAAUAGCCUACUUACUGUAUGUACACAUAAACUAAGCAGACAUUCUGUUUUGAUGAUGAUUCUCUCAAAAGAUUAUGCACAUCUGGCCCUGCAGGGCUCAACUUCCUUAGGAUUGUACUGUAUAUGCUCAAAGCCAGACAAGAAGGAGCAGUGAGGAUUUUCGUCCUGAGCACAUUGUUAUCAACAGAGGGACAUUUCCAGGACUCUAUUGCGUUCACAUCAUUUUGUUGUGGAGAGGUUUUUCUUAUUGCAGUUCAUUCUUUUAGCCCAUAUUUGGUGGUAGAAAGUAGAUGUUGAGAGCACGGACAGACACAUAGAAACAAUACUUGGAUAUUCUAAUCCGACCUCUGUUCCAGCCACCUGCCUAGCCCUAUGCAAACCUGUGUCAUCCCUCCCUACAUAUGGAAGUCCAGUUAGUAAGACAGGUGAACAUUCCGCAGCAGAGAGGGGGAGAUAGUUGAUAUCAUUCUUCAG
rnacentral:lncRNA from 1 species